rnacentral:rRNA from 1 species
AGUGAACGCUGGCGGUAGGCCUAACACAUGCAAGUCGAACGGCAGCACAGUAAGAGCUUGCUCUUACGGGUGGCGAGUGGCGGACGGGUGAGGAAUACAUCGGAAUCUACCUUUUCGUGGGGGAUAACGUAGGGAAACUUACGCUAAUACCGCAUACGACCUACGGGUGAAAGCAGGGGAUCUUCGGACCUUGCGCGAUUGAAUGAGCCGAUGUCGGAUUAGCUAGUUGGCGGGGUAAAGGCCCACCAAGGCGACGAUCCGUAGCUGGUCUGAGAGGAUGAUCGGCCACACUGGAACUGAGACACGGUCCAGACUCCUACGGGAGGCAGCAGUGGGGAAUAUUGGACAAUGGGCGCAAGCCUGAUCCAGCCAUACCGCGUGAGUGAAGAAGGCCUUCGGGUUGUAAAGCCCUUUUGUUGGGAAAGAAAAGCAGCAGGUUAAUACCCCGCUGUUCUGACGGUACCCAAAGAAUAAGCACCGGCUAACUUCGUG